rnacentral:rRNA from 1 species
UACGUAGGGUGCGAGCGUUGUCCGGAUUCACUGGGUUUAAAGGGUGCGUAGGAGGGCAGGUAAGUCAGUGGUGAAAUCUCCAAGCUUAACUUGGAAACUGCCGUUGAUACUAUCUGUCUUGAAUAUUGUGGAGGUGAGCGGAAUAUGUCAUGUAGCGGUGAAAUGCUUAGAUAUGACAUAGAACACCAAUUGCGAAGGCAGCUCACUACUCAAUCAUUGACUCUGAGGCACGAAAGCCAGGGGAGCAAACAGG